rnacentral:lncRNA from 1 species
UCCCCAAGGCAAAGGAGUAAGAAGAAUCCAUCUAUUUUUAGCUGCAAGAUACACAAAAAUGAAUAACAGAAACCUAGGAAAGUUAAUAGCAGAUAUGAUUGGCUCAGAAGAAUAAUAAAAGCUUCAACUUUCAAGUAAAGUGAAUAACACACAAAGUGUUUCAGUUUCUACAGCUUAUAUUAAUAUAAUCAAGAUGGGAAUAAAAUAAUCCAGACCAAUUGUUCAAAUUUAAGCAAAGUGUUAAAGUGAAACCGACCAGAGAAAAUUCUGAACAAGAUUAGAAGUCAAAAUAACAGUUCUUGAGAGUAACCCAUUAGUUAAAUCCUCGAAAGCUACGAACUUUCCACAAACCCAGAUGAGAAGUUCCUAAAGUAAGCACAUACAAAAAGAAAAAAUUGGACUUCCCCAAUAGUUCACAAACACAGAUCUCUGAAACUCUCAAACACACAAAACUCUUGAAGUUUCAAGAUACUUAUAUGCAGACAACACAUCGUUUUUCAAAAUCAUUGUUAAGCUGUAAAGAAACAUUCUCAACAAAGGAACAAGUUUGGAUCAUAAAGAGCUUAAUCCAAAGUAUUACAAUAUAUAGCAUAGCCUCAAAUUACUUUGAUACUGAACGAGUUUGCAAAAUACAUAGAUACACACACUCCAUUAAGCUUAAAAGAUCAUUAAUUUAAUAGAAGCUAGACAGUAACUAUGAAGUAGCAUAAAGUUUCAGUUUUUGCAAAGAAAACAUCAUUAAAGUUGGGUUUUUUUCUGUAAAAACAAAACACAGACAAAGCAAAAUCGAUAAUGGGAAUGCGAAACCCUCGAAAGAAAGAAACUUUUUCAUGGUCAGAAGCUAACAAUAACGAUCCAGAAAGAAGAAGAUCUUUCAUAUUUGAAUACAAAACUUACAAACCGAGAUAAGAGUAUAAAACCUCACCAGCAAAAAUCAAACUCUGUGUCUGAUCUUUGAUUAAUAUGUUUUGCAGUUCGUUUGAAAUCGAAGGAGAACAAGUCUGACUGAAUCAGUGAAGUGCGUGGUUGACGGAGGAAGCUGUUACUUCUCCUGUGAUCCCACACGAGAAAGUAAACUUAUUUUCUCCUCUUGGCCAAUCUUUUAUAACCGAACUUUUUAUUAGUAGAGUACAUAGUUGGAUUCUGACUAGUUUGGUAAAGAGUAAAUGAUUUUAG